CCUACGGGAGGCAGCAGUGAGGAAUAUUGGUCAAUGGACGAGAGUCUGAACCAGCCAAGUAGCGUGAAGGAUGACUGCCCUAUGGGUUGUAAACUUCUUUUAUAUGGGAAUAAAAUGUUCCACGUGUGGGAUUUUGUAUGUACCAUAUGAAUAAGGAUCGGCUAACUCCGUGCCAGCAGCAGCGGUAAUACGGAGGAUCCGAGCGUUAUCCGGAUUUAUUGGGUUUAAAGGGAGCGUAGGUGGAUUGUUAAGUCAGUUGUGAAAGUUUGCGGCUCAACCGUAAAAUUGCAGUUGAAACUGGCAGUCUUGAGUACAGUAGAGGUGAGCGGAAUUCGUGGUGUAGCGGUGAAAUGCUUAGAGAUCACGAAGAACUCCGAUUGCGAAGGCAGUUCACUGGACUGCAACUGACACUGAGGCUCGAAAGUGUGGGUAUCAAACAGGAUUAGAUACCCGGGUAGUC
rnacentral:rRNA from 1 species